UACGAACGCUGGCGGCGUGCUUAACACAUGCAAGUCGAACGGAAAGACCCUGCUUUUGUGGGGUGCUCGAGUGGCGAACGGGUGAGUAACACGUGAGUAACCUGCCCUUGACUUUGGGAUAACUUCAGGAAACUGGGGCUAAUACCGGAUAGGAGCUCCUGCUGCAUGGUGGGGGUUGGAAAGUUUCGGCGGUUGGGGAUGGACUCGCGGCUUAUCAGCUUGUUGGUGGGGUAGUGGCUUACCAAGGCUUUGACGGGUAGCCGGCCUGAGAGGGUGACCGGCCACAUUGGGACUGAGAUACGGCCCAGAAUCCUACGGGAGGCAGCAGUGGGGAAUAUUGCACAAUGGGCGGAAGCCUGAUGCAGCAACGCCGCGUGCGGGAUGACGGCCUUCGGGUUGUAAACCGCUUUCGCCUGUGACGAAGCGUGAGUGACGGUAAUGGGUAAAGAAGCACCGGCUAACUACGUG
rnacentral:rRNA from 1 species